rnacentral:rRNA from 1 species
AAUAUUGCUCACUGGAGGAAACUCUGAUGCAGCGACGCCGCGUGAGCGUUGAAGGAUUUCGAGUCGUAAAGCUCUUUCCUAGGGGACGAUAAUGACGGUACCCUAGGAGGAAGCCCCGCCUAACUCCGUUCCAGCAGCCGCGGUAAUACGUAGGGGGCGAGCGUUGUUCGGAAGUAUUCGGCGUAAAGGGGUCGCAGGAGGCCUUUUAAGUCAGAAGUGAAAGCCCACGGCUUAACCCUGGUAAGCAUUUGAAACUGGAAGGCUUGAGUUAAGAAGAGGAAAGUGGAAUACCUAGUGUGGCGGUGAAAUGCGUGGAUAUUAGGAGGAAUACCAGUGGCGAAGGCGACUUUCUGGACUUAUACUGACGCUGAGGAACGAAAGCGUGGGGAGCAAACA